rnacentral:rRNA from 1 species
CCCUUAGAUGUUCUGGGCCGCACGCGCGCUACACUGAUUCAUGCAACAAGUUUUGUCCUUGGCUGAUAGGCCUGGGUAAUCUUUGAACGUGAAUCGUGAUGGGGAUAGAUGAUUGCAAUUAUUCAUCUUCAACGAGGAAUUCCUAGUAAACGCAAGUCAUCAGCUUGCAUUGAUUACGUCCCUGCCCUUUGUACACACCGCCCGUCGCACCUACCGAUUGAAUGGUCCGGUGAAAUCUUCGGAUCUGAGAGAUGUCUGAUUAAUUUCGGACGCCUUUUGGAAAAGUUGUUUAAACCUCACCAUUUAGAGGAAGGUGAAGUCGUAACA